AACGAACGCUGGCGGCGUGGAUAAGACAUGCAAGUCGAACGGGACAUUGAGGUAGCAAUAUCUGUCUAGUGGCGAACGGGUGCGUAACACGUGGGCAACAUGCCUGGAAGAGCGGGAUAGCCCGGGGAAACUCGGAUUAAUACCGCAUGUGACAACGGGGCGGCUUCGCCCUGUUUUCAAAGGUGGGGACCGCAAGGCCUGCCGCUUCCAGAUUGGCCCGCGUCCUAUCAGCUAGUUGGCGGGGUAAAAGCCCACCAAGGCGACGACGGGUAGCUGGUCUGAGAGGACGACCAGCCACACUGGAACUGAGACACGGUCCAGACACCUACGGGUGGCAGCAGUCGAGAAUCUUUCACAAUGGGGGAAACCCUGAUGGAGCGACGCCGCGUGGAGGAUGACGGUCUUCGGAUUGUAAACUCCUGUCAUGAAAGAACAAGCGGAGCGGGUGAACAGCCCGCCGAGUUGAUAGUAUUUCAAGAGGAAGGGACGGCUAACUUCGUGCCAGCAGCCGCCGUAACAC
rnacentral:rRNA from 1 species